rnacentral:rRNA from 1 species
AGAGUUUGAUCCUGGCUCAGAGCGAACGUUAGCGGCGGGCUUAACACAUGCAAGUCGAACGAGAAUGAGGGAGCAAUCCCUCUAGUACAGUGGCGGACGGGUGCGUAACACGUGGACAAUUUACCUUCCGGCGGGGGACAACAGUUCGAAAGGACUGCUAAUACCGCGUACGUCGGCGAGGGCUCCGGCCCUUGCCGAGAAAGAUGGCCAAUCCUUGGAAGCUGUCACCGGAAGAUGAGUCCGCGGCCCAUCAGCUAGUUGGUGAGGUAAUGGCUCACCAAGGCUAAGACGGGUAGCUGGUCUGAGAGGAUGAUCAGCCACACUGGGACUGCGACACGGCCCAGACUCCUACGGGAGGCAGCAGUGGGGAAUAUUGGGCAAUGGGCGAAAGCCUGACCCAGCCACGCCGCGUGAGUGAUGAAGGCCUUCGGGUCGUAAAGCUCUGUGGGGAGGGACGAACAAGCAUGCAUCUAAUACAUGCGUGCCCUGACGGUACCUCCUUAGCAAGCACCGGCUAACCAUGUGCCAGCAGCCGCGGUAAUACAUGGGGUGCAAACGUUGCUCGGAAUUAUUGGGCGUAAAGCGCGCGUAGGCGGUUAUCUAAGUCGGAUGUGAAAGCCCUCGGCUUAACCGAGGAAGUGCAUCCGAGACUGAAUAGCUAGAGUACGAAAGAGGGUCGCGGAAUUCCCGGUGUAGAGGUGAAAUUCGUAGAUAUCGGGAGGAACACCGGCGGCGAAGGCGGCGACCUGGUUCGAGACUGACGCUGAGGCGCGAAAGCGUGGGGAGCAAACAGGAUUAGAUACCCUAGUAGUCC